AAAUUGAAGAGUUUGAUCAUGGCUCAGAUUGAACGCUGGCGGCAGGCCUAACACAUGCAAGUCGAACGGUAGCACAGAGAGCUUGCUCUCGGGUGACGAGUGGCGGACGGGUGAGUAAUGUCUGGGAAACUGCCUGAUGGAGGGGGAUAACUACUGGAAACGGUAGCUAAUACCGCAUAACGUCGCAAGACCAAAGAGGGGGACCUUCGGGCCUCUUGCCAUCAGAUGUGCCCAGAUGGGAUUAGCUAGUAGGUGGGGUAACGGCUCACCUAGGCGACGAUCCCUAGCUGGUCUGAGAGGAUGACCAGCCACACUGGAACUGAGACACGGUCCAGACUCCUACGGGAGGCAGCAGUGGGGAAUAUUGCACAAUGGGCGCAAGCCUGAUGCAGCCAUGCCGCGUGUAUGAAGAAGGCCUUCGGGUUGUAAAGUACUUUCAGCGGGGAGGAAGGUGUUGUGGUUAAUAACCACAGCAAUUGACGUUACCCGCAGAAGAAGCACCGGCUAACUCCGUGCCAGCAGCCGCGGUAAUACGGAGGGUGCAAGCGUUAAUCGGAAUUACUGGGCGUAAAGCGCACGCAGGCGGUCUGUCAAGUCGGAUGUGAAAUCCCCGGGCUCAACCUGGGAACUGCAUUCGAAACUGGCAGGCUGGAGUCUUGUAGAGGGGGGUAGAAUUCCAGGUGUAGCGGUGAAAUGCGUAGAGAUCUGGAGGAAUACCGGUGGCGAAGGCGGCCCCCUGGACAAAGACUGACGCUCAGGUGCGAAAGCGUGGGGAGCA
rnacentral:rRNA from 1 species